UUACUUGGCAAGAUGGCGGAGUACGACUUGACUACUCGCAUCACACACUUUUUGGAUCGGCAUCUAGUCUUUCCGUUGCUUGAGUUUCUCUCCGUAGAAGAGAUAUAUAAUGAAAAAGAAUUAUUACAAGGGAAAUUGGAUCUCCUUAGUGAUACCAACAUGGUAGACUUUGCUAUAGAUGUAUACAAAAACCUUUAUUCUGAUGAUAUGCCACAUGCUUUGAGAGAAAAAAGAACCACAGUUGUUGCACAACUGAAACAGCUUCAGGCAGAAACAGAACCAAUUGUGAAGAUGUUUGAAGAUCCAGAAACUACAAGGCAGAUGCAGUCAACCAGAGAUGGUUGGAUGCUGUUUGACUACCUGGCGGACAAGCAUGGUUUUAGGCAGGAAUAUUUAGAUACACUCUACAGGUAUGUGAAAUUUCAAUAUGAAUGUGGGAAUUACUCUGGAGCCGCAGAAUAUCUUUACUUCUUUAGAGUGUUGGUUCCAGCAACAGAUAAAAAUGCUUUGAGUUCACUCUGGGGAAAAUUGGCCUCUGAAAUCUUAAUGCAGAAUUGGGAUGCAGCUAUGGAAGACCUUACAUGGUUAAAAGAGAUCAUAGAUAAUAAUUCUGUGAGUUCUCCACUUCAGUCUCUUCAGCAGCGAACAUGGCUCAUCCAUUGGUCUCUGUUCAUUUUCUUCAGCCACUCCAAAGGGCGUGAUAACAUAAUUGAUCUCUUCCUUUACCAGCCACAGUAUCUUAAUGCAAUUCAGACAAUGUAUCCACAUAUUCUGCGCUAUUUGACUACAGCCGUCAUAACAGAGAUGUUCAGAAACGCCGACAGGUGCUAAAAGAUCUUGUUGAAAUUAUUCAACAGGAGUUUUACACAUAUAAAGACCCAAUUACAGAAUUUGUUGAAUGCUUAUAUGUUAACUCUGACUUUGAUGGGGCUCAGAAAAAGCUGAGGGACUGUGAAUCAGUACUUGUGAAUGACUUCUUCUUGGUGGCUUGUCUUGAGGAUUUCAUUGAAAACGCUCGUCUCUUCAUAAAUGAGACUUUUUGUCGCAUCCACCUGUGUAUUAGCAUUAACAUGUUGGCAGACAAACUGAACAUGACUCCAGAAGAAGCUGAAAGGUGGAUUGUAAAUUUGAUUAGAAAUGCAAGGCUGGAUGCCAAGAUUGAUUCCAAAUUAGCUCCUAACUGGGCAACUCAGGACUCUGGCUUCUACUGA